AUGGAGCUCUAAGGGUAGGUGCUUCUCAAUUGUACCCAGAGGACUUUGAUCCACAGAGGUGACUGAGUGGUGACUUGGAGAAGUGAAUGCCAUUAAAAGUAGAGCCUGUUAGAGUUCCCAGGAGGAAGGGGCUGGCCAGGCCAGGCCAUGUGGAAAGCACUCUGCUGAUCAGGAGGCAGAAGCAGGCGAAAAGGUCCAGAGCCUCCAUUGGGGUUUCUGCAAAAAGACAAGGCAGGACAGGGGAAAUGGCUUGAGGCUGGUGAGUUGGAGUCCUGUCAGUGGAACCUGGGAUAUAGGGGGUGUUUCUAGUUGCCACUACAUGCCCAUGGGUGGUUUAGAGCAGGGGAAAUAAAUACUGGCUCAGGAUAUGCAAGUUAGAUAAGAAGAUGGUUCAGAGUGUAAGUGCUAGCCAGUUUUCCAUCACUAUAACAAAAAACUGAGAUGAUCAGUUUAUAAAGAGAGGAGGUUUAUUUUGACUCACAGUUUCAGUCCGUGGUCAGUUGGGCCCAUUGCUUUUGGAGCUAUGGUGAGGAACACAUGUAGAGCAAAGCUGCUCAUCUUAUGGGAAGAAAGAAAAAAAACAGGAAAAGAAGGGGCCAGGUCCCAACAUCCCCUUUGAGAACCUGCUGCCAAUGAACAAAAGACUGGACCAUACCCCUUAGGUUUCCAUGACUUCUCGACAGUGCCAAGCUGGGCUCUGAGCUUUGAACCGUGGGCCCUUGGGGAACAUUGGAGAUCCACACCUCAGCAGUAUGGGAUCUGGUUCGCUACAGGAAUGGAACUUUGACCAUUUGUCUCUGUGAUUGGCAAAUGUUAAAUAGAGAAGAAUCCAGGACCUAAAAAAACAUAGAACAUGACCAUACAGGGCCUUUCAGAUCAAGUUAAAAUUCCUGCUCUGUGCAAGCAGGAUGUACCUGGGAUGAGGCAGAAAUCCUCUCCUUAUCACAGACCAGGUCACCAACCAUAGGGCCUGGUGUGAUGGUCACAGCACUCACCCUGUGUGGACAGUUUUUGUUAAAGUUCCUAACUAUGUCCUCAUUUCUUUUGGCCCUAUCUCUGUGGCAUUUUGUAUAAACAGUUAUAAGUUUAAUCUGACUGAUUCUAGUGUUAACAAGUUUUACCUUUUUAUUCAAAUCCUAUUUUUGUUACUCUCCCAAGAAAAACAACAGCAGAACUUGUGCCAAGGGACUUUCUAGAAAAAGAUGUUCAACUGCUAAGAUGUCAAGGAGAGACAUUGUUUCUCUCUGUCAUUAAACUUUCGUUGCAUGGAAGGAGGUUUCAAGAGAUUGUUGCUUACUCAUGUACAAGGAUGAACAAACAGAAUAUGCAGAUGCUGGCAGCAGGAGGCCUGGAGCCCAGUUUCUUCUCCACAAGAAAGGGGACAGUGAGCUGAAGAUGACUACAAGUGACACAGGUGAGCAGGUGAACCACAGCAUGUGCGCCUAAGCGGCUGGAAACACUGGGAGCUUGCAGAAACCGGCCCUUGGAGACCCGCUCCAUCAGUCUGUGCUUUAACACGGUGCCCAGGAAGAGCCAGAUGAGCUUGCUGUCACUAUCUUCAACCUGCCAUGUGAGGAGAUAGCAAGAGUUAUCUGCACAAAAGGAAGACAGCCCUCAUCAGACAUCUGAUCUUCCCGCGGCUUGAUCUUGGACUUGCCAGCCUUCAGGACUGUGAGAGAUGAAAGUUCAAGCCAAUCCAUGGUCUAUUUGUUAAAGUACUCUGAGCUGACCAACACAGUUGUGGAAUAAAUAUGCAUAGGCAUUUUUCUGGAACUUUACUACUAUUCUCCAAGACCAGAGCACAAAGAAAGUGCAGAUGCUGGUCUUCUGGAUGAUUGAACUCAAGAUGCUCCCGUAAGGAGGAGGGCGAGACUGGGGUCAGGCAAAUGGCCCUCUUGUGGUUUUCCCUGCAAGAUGGGCUCCUACUCUGUGUGCGUCUCUGGAGGGAAGCUCAGCCUGCUAUGCAUCGACACAGUAACGUCUUCCUGGCAGUGGGACAUUUACAACCACCUUCUCAUUCUCCUUCGCCAAAGUUUCCUCAUAAUCAGUGUCAUGAAGCUAGAAGCCAAUUGUCCCAAUUAAGAUGUAGAUUUGUGGACACCCAAAAAGAACACAAAAAUAUAAGUGCAAGGACCCGAGUUCAAUCCCCGGUACAAAAAAAAAAAAUAUAUAUAUAUAUAUAUAUAUAUAUAUACAUACAUACACAGAACUUCCUGCUAUAGGUCUUUAUUUAAUAUGAUGUUGUGUACCCAACCACUACUGCUAAGUAAAUUCAAAUGCUUUCUGAAAUUACUAUGGAUUUUCAAGCUUGCUUAGUUUGGCAAGAGUUAGAAUUAAUCUUGGGCUGAGUAGAAUAUUAAUUUUUAUUAUGUUGAAGAUUCCUAAAAUGCCCUUACUCUUUGAGAUGUAUUUGACUUGUGAGCAUAGCAUGCACAUUCCUUGCAUUCUGUGUGCCAGGUAGGCAGGUAACUGGUAUGGCUUUUGAAAAGGUAUUUGACUCUCAGCAAGGCCAGGGGCCUCUGGUACAGGUGGGUCCCAGUGGGCCAUGGGCUUAAAAUCUAGGCAGGAAUCCUUUCAACCAAGAAAAGUCUUUUAAUUUUCUAGCAAUUGAGGGAGUUGAGCUCGACCUACAGUGUUGAGAACUAACUCCCACCAAGUAAUCAAGCAAACUAGAAUAUUUCCCAGAUAAUUAGCCUUAGUGAAAAAUGGAUACAGGUAAAUCCUGGAAGAUUCUGUGAGACUUUUUCAAAAUAAACAAUUUACACUCCUGUGCUUAUAUUCUCUAUGUAA